rnacentral:rRNA from 1 species
UGGCGGCGUGCCUAAUACAUGCAAGUCGAGCGGAUCAUCUUGAGGAGCUUGCUCCGAUAGAUGGUUAGCGGCGGACGGGUGAGUAACACGUAGGCAACCUGCCCAUAAGACCGGGAUAACAUUCGGAAACGAAUGCUAAGACCGGAUAUGCAGUUUCCCCGCAUGGGGAAGCUGGGAAACACGGCGCAAGCUGUGGCUUGUGGAUGGGCCUGCGGCGCAUUAGCUAGUUGGUGAGGUAACGGCCCACCAAGGCGACGAUGCGUAGCCGACCUGAGAGGGUGAACGGCCACACUGGGACUGAGACACGGCCCAGACUCCUACGGGAGGCAGCAGUAGGGAAUCUUCCACAAUGGGCGAAAGCCUGAUGGAGCAACGCCGCGUGAGUGAGGAAGGCUUUCGGGUCGUAAAGCUCUGUUGCCAGGGAAGAACGCCUAAGAGAGUAACUGCUCUUAGGGUGACGGUACCUGAGAAGAAAGCCCCGGCUAACUACGUG